UACGUAGGGUCCGAGCGUUGUCCGGAAUUACUGGGCGUAAAGAGCUCGUAGGUGGUUUGUCGCGUUGUUCGUGAAAACUCACAGCUUAACUGUGGGCGUGCGGGCGAUACGGGCAGACUGGAGUACUGCAGGGGAGACUGGAAUUCCUGGUGUAGCGGUGGAAUGCGCAGAUAUCAGGAGGAACACCGAUGGCGAAGGCAGGUCUCUGGGCCGCAACUGACGCUGAGGAGCGAAAGCAUGGGGAGCGAACAGG
rnacentral:rRNA from 1 species